rnacentral:rRNA from 1 species
CCCCUAGAGGAGCCUGUUCUAUAAUCGAUAAUCCACGAUCUACCUCACCAUCUCUUGCCAAUACCGCCUAUAUACCGCCGUCACCAGCCUACCCUAUGAAGGAUAUAAAAGCAAGCAAAAUAGCACAACAGCUAACAAGUCAGGUCAAGGUGUAGCUUACUGAGAUGGAAGAAAUGGGCUACAUUUUCUAAACUAGAAAUCAUUUCACGGAAAGAACUAUGAAACAAGUCCUAUAAGUAGGAUUUAGCAGUAAAUAGGGAUCAGAAUGCCCAAUUUAAGCCGGUCCUAAGGUACGC